rnacentral:rRNA from 1 species
UACGGAGGGAGCUAGCGUUGUUCGGAAUUACUGGGCGUAAAGCGCACGUAGGCGGCUUUGUAAGUUAGAGGUGAAAGCCUGGAGCUCAACUCCAGAAUUGCCUUUAAGACUGCAUCGCUUGAAUCCAGGAGAGGUGAGUGGAAUUCCGAGUGUAGAGGUGAAAUUCGUAGAUAUUCGGAAGAACACCAGUGGCGAAGGCGGCUCACUGGACUGGUAUUGACGC